UUUCCGUAGGUGAACCUGCGGAAGGAUCAUUAAUAAAUGGUCUACGUUUUUUAAGUAGACGCUUAAUAAUCCUACCCUUUGUGAAUUUGUUUGCUUGAAAUAAUUUUUUUUAAAAUUAUUGAAUGUCUUUCCCUGUUGAAUUGGUUGUCUUUAAUGGCAAGUGAUUCGCAGGGGAGUGUCAAUAAUUUUUAAAAAGACCUUCUUUAAAAUUAAACUUUUUGUAUUCAUUUGUCUAAAAAUUAUUUUUAUAAUAUAAAAACAACUUUUGACAAUGGAUCUCUUGGUUCUCGCAACGAUGAAGAACGCAGCAAAAUGCGAUAAGUAGUGUGAAUUGCAGAAUACGUGAAUCAUCGAAUCUUCGAACGCAUAUUGCACUUUUUUAGUUUACUAAAAAAGUAUGUCUGUUUGAGUAUCAGUAAAAUAUUCUCAUAAAAAACAUUGUUUUUUAUGGUUAUGAGUGUUUUACAACGAUACAAGUUGUUUCACUUUAAAUUUUUUUAAAAUUUGAAUUUUUCUAAUUUUAAAAUAAAAUUGGAUAAAAUUUUCCCGUAAAAAGGAAUAACCUAAACAAUUUUAAUUUUUGAUUAGAAAAUCCAAACUAAAAGGAAAAUUUAACUAAAUAACUUGAUCUCAAAUCAGAUAAGAGUACCCGCUGAACUUAAGCAUAUCAAUAAGCGGAGGAAAAGAAACUAACAAGGAUUCCCUCAGUAACGGCGAGUGAAGCGGGAAGAGCUCAAAUUUGAAAUCUUCAAGGUUUUACCUUGACGAAUUGUAGUUUAAAGGAGUGUUUUCUGUUGAAGUUUCGGUAAAAGUUCUUUGGAAUAGGACAUCAUAGAGGGUGAGAAUCCCGUAUUUGACCGUUAUUUUCAGCUGUGUGAUACACUUUCAAAGAGUCGGAUUGUUUGGGAAUGCAGUCCAAAAUGGGUGGUAAAUUUCAUCUAAAGCUAAAUAUUGGCGAGAGACCGAUAGCGAACAAGUACCGUGAGGGAAAGAUGAAAAGAACUUUGAAAAGAGAGUUAAACAGUACGUGAAAUUGUCAAAAGGGAAGCGUUUGACACCAGUGUUGUUUUCUCGAAAAUCAAUCAAAAAUGGCUUGAUUUUGUGUUGUAUUGACCUUAAAAGCUUUCUUCACUUUUUUCAUGUCUUUUUUAAUGCACUUUUCGUUUAACAAGUCAACAUCAGUUUCUUUUGUUGUAAAAAGGUCAUUGGAAGGUGGCUUUCUUUUCGGAGAAAGUGUUUAUAGCCUUUGACUUCUGCAAUCGGAGAGACUGAGGUCUGCAGCGUAGAUCCUUUUUGGAUUAGAUUCAUUUGUGCUAAGUUAUAGCUUUUUAUAGACAACUUGUUGACUAUAUUUAGUCUUGUAGCUUACUCGCUUAUGUAAUUUUACCUACGCUUAGGAUGUUG
rnacentral:misc_RNA from 1 species